rnacentral:lncRNA from 1 species
GACGUUUACACCUCACAGCCUGAAGGAGGGACAGAAUCUUCCCUCUUCGGCAAUCUGGAUGGCUUUGGACAAGUCACUUAGCCUCCCUGAGUCUGUUUACCUACCUAUCUAGUAACCACAAUGUGCAGAGAGAACAUUGAAUUCAUCUUAGUAGGCCCAGGGCCAGCGUCUGGAUGGAACUCAGUGAAGUCACAAAGCCGAGCGCACCCGAUCUCCCUCCAGCUCUAGCAGUCAUUCACUAGACAAACCCUAACACUGCAGGACUGUUCUUCACCAGGUGCAGUUGCACCUGGAAUUUAACCAAUCAUCCUGCUGAGAACCUCAAGAAAACUGGACAAAAAGUGGUCAAAGGAUGCUGGACGGAACCCAGAAUUUGGCAGUGUCUCCUUGGGUAUCUAAAUUUCCUAGAAGAAGGUGACAAACAGCUGAGAAGAAAUAAUGGCAGCUCCCCUGAGCUAAGAGGAC